rnacentral:rRNA from 1 species
GAUGAACGCUGACAGAAUGCUUAACACAUGCAAGUCAACUUGAACUUCGGUUUGGGUGGCGGACGGGUGAGUAACGCGUAAAGAACUUGCCUCACAGCUAGGGACAACAUUUGGAAACGAAUGCUAAUACCUGAUAUUAUGAUUUUAGGGCAUCCUAGAAUUAUGAAAGCUAUAUGCGCUGUGAGAGAGCUUUGCGUCCCAUUAGCUAGUUGGAGAGGUAACGGCUCACCAAGGCGAUGAUGGGUAGCCGGCCUGAGAGGGUGAACGGCCACAAGGGGACUGAGACAGGGCCCUUACUCCUACGGGAGGCAGCAGUGGGGAAUAUUGGACAAUGGACCAAGAGUCUGAUCCAGCAAUUCUGUGUGCACGAUGAAGUUUUUCGGAAUGUAAAGUGCUUUCAGUUGGGAAGAAAAAAAUGACGGUACCAACAGAAGAAGUGACGGCUAAAUACGU